rnacentral:piRNA from 1 species
UGUUCUUUGAACCAAUUGUAGUCAUGGUGU